rnacentral:lncRNA from 1 species
GAAAUUGUUGAUGCAAUGCAAAUGCGUUGUCCUACAUGCAUUGCAACUUGGAGUGCGAAAAGAGAAAGAAACAAAUGGCGAAGGAGAACAUGCUUAGCUUCUUGUGUUUUCUCUUGUGAGUGGAAAAAAGAAGUUACUGUUACUUCAUAGCUACUUGAGUCUUGACUUGAGGUAAGGAAGAUGCCACGUUGAUAGAUAAAGUCUUUU